ACGCGAAGAACCUUACCCAGGCUUGAACAGCGAGUGACCAGCGACGAAAGUCGCCUUCCGCAAGGACACUCGUAGAGGUGCUGCAUGGCUGUCGUCAGCUCGUGUCGUGAGAUGUUGGGUUAAGUCCCGCAACGAGCGCAACCCUUGUCCUCUGUUGCCAUCACGUAAUGGUGGGCACUCUGGGGAGACUGCCGGUGAUAAACCGGAGGAAGGUGGGGAUGACGUCAAGUCAGCAUGGCCUUUAUGUCUGGGGCUACACACGUGCUACAAUGGCCGGUACAAAGCGUCGCGAGCCCGCGAGGGGGAGCUAAUCGCAGAAAGCCGGUCUCAGUUCGGAUCGUAGGCUGCAACUCGCCUGCGUGAAGUCGGAAUCGCUAGUAAUCGCGGAUCAGCACGCCGCGGUGAAUACGUUCCCGGGCCUUGUA
rnacentral:rRNA from 1 species